rnacentral:rRNA from 1 species
UUUUUUUAUGGAGAGUUUGAUCCUGGCUCAGGACGAACGCUGGCGGCGUGCUUAACACAUGCAAGUCGAACGGAAAGGCCUAGCUUGCUAGGUACUCGAGUGGCGAACGGGUGAGUAA